UACGUAGGGGGCUAGCGUUGUCCGGAAUCAUUGGGCGUAAAGCGCGUGUAGGCGGCCCGGUAAGUCCGCUGUGAAAGUCGGGGGCUCAACCCUCGGAUGCCGGUGGAUACUGUCGGGCUCGAGUACGGAAGAGGCGAGUGGAAUUCCUGGUGUAGCGGUGAAAUGCGCAGAUAUCAGGAGGAACACCAAUUGCGAAGGCAGCUCGCUGGGACGUUACUGACGCUGAAACGCGAAAGCUAGGGUAGCGAACGGG
rnacentral:rRNA from 1 species